rnacentral:rRNA from 1 species
UACAGAGGGGGCAAGCGUUGUUCGGAAUUACUGGGCGUAAAGGGCGCGUAGGCGGCCUUCUAAGUCGAACGUGAAAUCCCUGGGCUCAACCCAGGAACUGCGUCCGAUACUGGAAGGCUUGAAUCCGGGAGAGGGAUGCGGAAUUCCAGGUGUAGCGGUGAAAUGCGUAGAUAUCUGGAGGAACACCGGUGGCGAAGGCGGCAUCCUGGACAGCAACUGACGCUGAGACGCGAAAGCGUGGGGAGCAAACAGG